UGUUAACAAAUGGAAUAUUAAUCUUUUACAGAACAAAGUUUCACACCGGCAACCGAUGUUUCCAGUCCCACGAGCAACGAGGCGUGUAAGACGCCGCAGGACAGACGAAGAAGCGACCUGCGUCUCGGGCACUUCUCCUGCAGGUUGACCAGAGAGCUGGCGGCUCACAGCCUGCCGGUGCUCACCGGCGUGGGGAAGCUGCAGCUCGCGCCCUGGAGACGACGCUCUUCACUCUGACGUGGAUCGAGAAGCAGCCAUGUUGGUUUUAUCUGAGAGUUACCAGCUUUUAUUCAGAGGGUCCCGAUCCCUUAAGUUGUAUUUUGAAUAUUUUACGUUUUAAUUUGUUUAUGUAUCCGUCUAUUUAUUUCCCAACAGAACCUUUUUGUAUGGUUAAAGAUUUCAAAUAUUUUUACAUAAAGAAGUGAAUAAAUAUUUAAACAUUU